rnacentral:piRNA from 1 species
UCCGACUGGUAUAAGAUGGUAUCUCAUU